AUCCAUGCAGUCGAGCGGUAGCACAGAGAGCUUGCUCUCGGGUGACGAGCGGCGGACGGGUGAGUAAUGUCUGGGAAACUGCCUGAUGGAGGGGGAUAACUACUGGAAACGGUAGCUAAUACCGCAUAAYGUCGCAAGACCAAAGUGGGGGACCUUCGGGCCUCAUGCCAUCAGAUGUGCCCAGAUGGGAUUAGCUAGUAGGUGGGGUAACGGCUCACCUAGGCGACGAUCCCUAGCUGGUCUGAGAGGAUGACCAGCCACACUGGAACUGAGACACGGUCCAGACUCCUACGGGAGGCAGCAGUGGGGAAUAUUGCACAAUGGGCGCAAGCCUGAUGCAGCCAUGCCGCGUGURUGAAGAAGGCCUUCGGGUUGUAAAGUACUUUCAGCGGGGAGGAAGGCGAUAAGGUUAAUAACCUUGUCGAUUGACGUUACCCGCAGAAGAAGCACCGGCUAACUCCGUGCCAGCAGCCGCGGUAAUACGGAGGGUGCAAGCGUUAAUCGGAAUUACUGGGCGUAAAGCGCACGCAGGCGGUCUGUCAAGUCGGAUGUGAAAUCCCCGGGCUCAACCUGGGAACUGCAUUCGAAACUGGCAGGCUAGAGUCUUGUAGAGGGGGGUAGAAUUCCAGGUGUAGCGGUGAAAUGCGUAGAGAUCUGGAGGAAUACCGGUGGCGAA
rnacentral:rRNA from 1 species